rnacentral:rRNA from 1 species
UCCACGCAGUAAACGAUGAAUGUUAGUCGUUGGGUCUCUAGUAGAUUCAGUGAUGCAGUUAACACAUUAAACAUUCCGCCUGGGGAGUACGGUCGCAAGAUUAAAACUCAAAGGAAUAGACGGGGACCCGCACAAGUGGUGGAGCAUGUGGUCUAAUUCGAAAAUACGCGAAGAACCUUACCUAGCCUUGACAUAUUUGAAAAUCCACCAGAGAUGGAGGAGUGCCUUCGGGA